rnacentral:rRNA from 1 species
GUGACAGUAUGCGUACUUGCUCCCUGAGAUCAGCGGCGGACGGGUGAGUAACACGUGGGUAACCUGCCUGUAAGACUGGGAUAACUCCGGGAAACCGGGGCUAAUACCGGAUAACACCUACCCCCGCAUGGGGGAAGGUUGAAAGGUGGCUUCGGCUAUCACUUACAGAUGGACCCGCGGCGCAUUUAGCUAGUUGGUGAGGUAAUGGCUCACCCAAGGCGACGAUGCGUAGCCGAC